rnacentral:lncRNA from 1 species
CUGGAAUAAGAAUGCGACCGCCAAAGGGUUCAGCCUUGGGCAUUUCCAGGCCUCUCUUCUUCCUGUGUCUUCGGUCAGGACACCCCAAUCAGGGCACUUCCUCCACUUGUGUCUCUCGGGUAGACUGUCCUCCCGAACCUUCUGUAUCUCUCUAAAUCUCACACACCCUCCAGGCUCAGCUCAAGAUCCCUGCCUGAAGCUUUCUCCCAGUCUUCUAACUCAUUGACCCUCCCACUGGAACAACACUGAGACUUUCCAAGAGGGUGAGAAUGGUUUUCUAAAGCCAUCAAUCUUCACGUGUGUACUUUCUUCAAGAUGAUGUGCCUGUGAACGUGUCCCUGUCACGCUGCUUCUCAGAACUACUGCCCCCUUCAUACCCACCUUUAUAAGAGAAAGGCCAGCCUUCACCCUUCUAGAAUUCUAACCAUGUUGCCUGGAUUCAGGAUGAAAAAGGUGCUCUGGGGCAUCGAGCAAGGUCAGCGGUAAAGAGAACUUAAGGAGAUUCAAGAAAUGAGACUGGAGAGAGCCCCAGUUCUCUCUAAAGAACUGAACUGACAGCAGAUCUGUACAUGGUCCAUGGAUGAAAACCAUUGAAGGCCUCCAUAAUGAUCUUGUAUCUCACUUUGGAAUAGAGCUUCUAUUAUCUUGGGACCUCAGCCAAAGCUAAGUAAUUUUAAUAUCUUUGUGUGUGUCUGUGCACUUGUGCAUGUGCACACGCACACACGUCUGAUGACACACUGCAAAUUGCUAGCAGUGCUAACUCCCAAGGUGGGAAAAUGAGCAGUGAGUGGUCAAAAGGGACUUCAACUUUAUCUGUAUUGCUUCAAUUUUUAUAGUGACAAUAUAUCCAUGUAUUACUUGUGUAAUUAAAAAGAAAUGAAAUUAAAUAUACUCUAGCGUGUGCUGGAUGAGUUUCUGCAACUUAAUUUCCAUCUGCCAAUGAAAUAAAUCUGAAACCUUUUAUUUGGGUUAAUAGCCCAAUUUGAUGUGUUGCUCUGUUGGAAGAAAACCAAAUUGUGAGGCGCUUUUCGGGGUUCUGUGUUGCAGAUUGCUCUCACGGUCUCAUGGUGUUUAUUCCUUUCAGGUACGUACUUAGGGUGUAAUAUACAUUUGCCCUGGUAAUUUGACUUCCUGGCCCCUGGCCAACCUAAGGAAAUAGAUGGCAAAGCCAGCAAUUCCUGUCUUGCAAACAUGAGAAAAUACAUAGCUACCUGGUCCGUUUCCAGUUGGAGGCAAAAACCCAGGUGAAGAAUUGAUAGGAAGGAAGCAACACUGGAGGCUGGGAGACUAAUUAAGAAGCUGUCUCAGAAAUCUGCAGGAAUGAGGCUGCUCUGAGACAGAAGUCCCAGGAAAAGAGAGAGGUGAAUGGAAUUAAGAAGAUAAGAAGACAGCAUCUAUAGUAUUUGGUGACUUGUUGGAUGUUGGAGAAGUAUGUGGAAGGGCAUCUAGGCUGUUGGCUUUGGUGCCUGGGAUCCAUCCUCGAGAGAAGGACGCAUUGAUGCUGCAGGAGUAAUAUCUUAGACCACGCACACAUUGAACCAACCAGCGGGGAUCAUAUUUAUUAAGAAAGAGGAGAUGAGGAAAGUGAGGCACAGUUGUGCCCUGCCCAAGGACACAUGAAAGGACCAGGAGGCAUCUGAAAGCAUCACUCAGACUCUCGAGUCCCACUCUGCCACCAAGCUUACUGGCCUCCCUAGGAUCAGUGGUGUAAUCCCCAGGACUGCACUCCUCGCCACGGUGCUCAUUGGCUUGCAUAAUCAAGGCUUCCUGGUCUUUUGUUGAAGGUUUCACAUGCAGAAGAAGCUUCAUGGACCCAUCCCACAGGAAGGAUUUCCAGUAGGAAGGCCGAGGUGUUACCUGGCAGCUGACUCUCAGUUAUACAUAACCCCCACCUCCGGGACCUGGUGAUCUGACAAAGGAGAAGAUAAAUUCGUGGCAUCUAUGGCUUUCAGUUUACUCAUUUAAUAUUUCCCUGGUGCCUCUAUUAGUCUUGUACCAUCUGUGGGAAGACAGGAGAUGCUGCCUAAAGCAUAUUUCUUUCUGUCCAUGCAAGUGGUGGGGUUCAGGGCAGGCUGCCCCCAAGAAGCAGCUCUGGUGUGCGGACUGUUUCAAGCUGAAGACAGUAAAGGCUCAGAAGACUCAGGAAGAGCAUCCGACCUUCCCCCACAAACCGCCUAAGACUUUAUACAUAGACGGCCUGUUCCAGGAGGGAGCUCAUACCAUCUGAUAGCUAUAGUACGAUGUAAAAUUGGUGUGAUAAAAGGACACCAACAAACCCAUUUUCUGGCCCAGCAAAGCCUGUUUAACAAACAUUUGCAUUCCAUCUCUACGUAAAUUGUCUUCCUCCUCGUUGAAGCCCCAAAUCACUAUACCCAACAUCCUCCUUGCCUGUAGCUGAACAUACUUAAACAGGUAGCCUCGGCCACAUGGCUGAGUUACUCAGUUUCUCCUGGGUUUCUCCCAUGUAUACAUGCUAUUAAACUUUGUUUGAU